rfam:Cajanus cajan Scaffold128446_11, whole genome shotgun sequence.
AGAAGAAUAACAGUGCAAUUCUCCAUUGGCAGGGUGCAGCUUGUAUUCUAGCUUACAUGAUAAUUGCCUUUCUGCCAAAGGAGAAUUGCCCUGCCAUUCUUCA